rnacentral:misc_RNA from 1 species
CUGCAAUGAAGUACUCCUUUAUCAUUUUUGUAUUGGCAUAGAUCUUGUCGGUGAUCCCCUCAGGUGCAGGCCCUCCAUUUUCCAUGUUAUAUUUGAUUCCAAAAUCCUCAUGCGGACCACCAGGGUUGUGACUAGCUGUUAGUAUAAAAGAUCCAGAUGCCUUGGAUCCAUCUGCACCAACUCUUUCUCGUAUGACAGCAGAAACAGCUGGUGUUGACAUUAAACCAUCUAGCCCAAUCCAAACACCCCGCACUCCAUUUGCAGCUGCCAUUUUGACUAUAAUCUGAAUGGCAUCUUUCGAGAAAUAUCGGCCAUCUCCAGAAACAACAAUGGUAGCACCUUUAACUUUAUCAGCAGCGAGCGCAUCAAACGUAGAUUGCACGAAGUUGUGCAGGUAGUGCGGCUGCUUAAACACCGUCACCUUCUUUCGGAGACCGGAGGUGCCGGGCUUCUGGCCGUCGAUGGGGGAGGUUUGCUUGCGUGUGACAGUGAAGAUCGCCAUGGCUGGAGGGCGAGAUCUGAGGGUAGGGGUGGUGG